AAUGGGUCGUUUUUAUAAAAAUAAAAUAUGUAGGGCAUAAUUUGAAAAAAAAAAAAGAAAGAUUAAAAAGGAGAUAGAAAAAAGCGAAAAUAGGCUAUGAGGUGUUUUUCAAACUCUAAAUACAACUUCAAAUUAUAUUUGAAAUUUUCAUGGCCAAACGCUGAUUCUCAAAUAAAAUGAAAAAAAAAAUCGGAAAAAAAGUAUGUUAUAUUUACCCUUAAAGAAGAUCAGAAGAGGGUUAGAUUUGUCCUGUACUCUUCAAAAAAUGUUACUAUAUUUAUCUUCACUAUACUUUUUUGGUAUAUUUGCCUUCACCAUUCAACUUUGGACACAUAUUUACCCAUAAAUCCUCCUUGUGCCCAUGUAUAUAUAAUUUUUUCUCUGAAUUUAAAUCCAACCCACCAUUAAACCCGACCCACUUUAUAAAAUAAACUCACCCCAAAGACCUUACAGUUGCCAGAAAAAAUGUUGUUUCUUGGAGUGUUAUUAUGGUUGGAGUGUUAAGGACUUCAGGAAUUAUUUAAGAUCUUGGGAUAUACCAGAUAGUGUUAUACUUUGCCUUCUAUGAUUAGGGUUUGUAGAGAUACAAUGGGCCUGCAAGCUGAUUCAUAAUAUUAUUUUUUAUUUUGGUUCUCCACCUCGUGUUCGAUAUUCAUAUUGGAGCCUGACUAUAUCCGGAUUCGAGCCGCAUAGACCUCAUUCUGUGGGAAGCGCUCCCUACUAAUAAUUUUUUCAUACCUAGGGCUCAAACCCGAGACCUCUGGUUAAGGGAGGAGUAGCCCCAAUUGCUGCACCACGUCCUUUGAUGGUGAUUCAUAUUAUUGUUUGCAAAUUAGGGUCGCAGUCAGAUGAUUUUGUGGUUGCAGCAUUUGUUGAUAUGUAUUCGAAAUGUAAGAUGUCCUUUGAGGAGACGAGCAAGGGUCCCACUGUGCAGACUUGGUGGACUUCACAACCACAUGAUGACGAUGGCAAAAUUCAGAGCGUAUUGAAGCAAAACUUGAGCCAGAAAAGCACUCAUCUUUUGUUAUCUCUCCAAUCUUUAGGAUAAACUGUAGAAAUGGAUAUCGGAUUAGCAGUGGGAGGUGCAUUUCUUUCUUCAACUCUGCAAGUUCUCUUUGAUCGUCUCACCCCACAAUGUGACUUUCUUAAUUUCUUCCGAGGUCGCAGGCAAGAUCAAAGGCUCUUAAAGAAGCUUCACACUAAUUUGCUUGCUCUUCGUGGGGUUGUUCAUCACGUCGAGAGCGAGCAUAUUUGUGACGAACAUGUUCGGAAUUGGCUGAACCAACUUCAGGAUGCUGUGGACAACGCAGAUAACUUGUUGGAUGAGAUCAAUUAUGAAGUUCUGAGAGUUAAGCUGGAAUCUGGUGAUGAAACAAGCCAGCAUGUUGGUUUUUGCAAUGAUUUUCUUGACUCCAUGAUGCCCAAGUUGGAAGAGACCAUUGAAACAUUGGAAGACUUAGAAAAGCAAGUUCAUCGCCUCGGCCUGAAAACUCAUCUAGUGACAGGCAAAAAAGAGUCUCCUAAACGUCUUCCAUCAACUUCUCUGGUUGAUGAAUCAGGAGUAUUUGGUAGGCAUGAAGAACUUGAGGAAAUAAUUAGCCAAUUGUUGUUGUCAUGUGAUGCUGUAGAGGGGAAGAAAGAACCUAGUGUGACGCCGAUAGUGGGAUUAGGUGGAGUGGGCAAGACGACACUUGCUCGAGCCGUUUACAAUGAUAUGAAGAUAAGACACCAUUUUGAGAUUAGAGCAUGGGUUUGUGUUUCAGAAGAAUAUGACGCUUUCAGAAUUACAAGAACAUUACUUGGAGAGAUUGGGUCGUCGCUGGACUCAGACGUCAGUGACAAUCUUAAUCAGCUCCAAAUUAGGCUAAGUCAUAGGCUGAAAGGGAAAAGGUUUCUUUUUGUUCUAGAUGACGUAUGGAAUGAAAACUACACUGAUUGGGAUGAGUUAAGGUGUCCUUUCGUACACGGGCACAAGGGAAGCAGGAUCAUUUUAACAACACGAAAAGAAAGUGUUGCCAUGAUGAUGGGAAGUGAGAUAAUUCAGUUGAAAUCUCUGUCUGAGGAAGACUGUUGGUCUUUGUUUAAAACACACUCAUUUGAAAAUAGAGAUCCCAAUGAAUAUCCAGAGCUUGAAGGGGUUGGUAAAAAGAUUGUGGAGAAGUGCAAAGGGUUACCUUUAGCUGUGAAGACGCUGGCAGGUCUAUUGCGCUCUAAAUCCAAGGUUGAAGAGUGGGAACGCCUUCUGCGAAGUGAAAUAUGGGAGCUACCAAGUGGCCCAAGUGACAUAUUACCAGUGCUGAAAUUAAGCUAUAGUGACCUUUCUCCAGUGCUAAAGCGUUGCUUUGCUUAUUGUGCACUAUUUCCUAAAGAUCACCAUUUUGGUAGUGAAGAGGUUGUUCAACUAUGGAUUGCGAAUGGCCUUAUAACACACGGCGAAAGCGAUGAAACAAUUGAAGAUACAGGGAAUCAAUACUUUUUGGAGCUAAGGUCAAGAUCCUUGUUUCAAAAGUCAUCUGAUUUCUCUUUGUUGAAAUGGGAAGCAACGGAGAGAUUCUUGAUGCAUGACCUUGUCAAUGAUUUGGCUCAAUUUGUGUCAGCAAAACUUUGUCUUAGGCUUGAAGAUUAUCCAAGGCUUCACAUAAUGAAAAGAGUUCGACAUUUGUCAUAUCUUGGAGAUUGCUACAGCGAGUUUGACAAGUUCAAAUCGCUUUGUGGCCUUGAGUAUUUGAGGACAUUGAUUCCCAUAAGGAUUAAUUUCUAUUCGUUUCUAAGCACAAAAGUGGUGUAUAACAUACUGCCAACGCUGACCUCCUUGAGGGCAUUAUCAUUAUCUGGAUAUCAAAACCAUGAGUUUCCUGAUGCCUUGUUCAUCAAUUUGAAGCACCUACGUUAUUUGGAUUUUUCUCGUACAAAAAUUACAAAACUGCCAGAUUCAGUUUGCACUUUGUAUAAUCUACAAACAUUGUUGCUGUUGAAUUGUUGGGGUCUUGUUCAGUUGCCGGCAGAGAUGGGGAUAUUGAUCAACUUGCGUCACCUUGAUAUUCGAGGAACUUGUAUUUCGUGGAACAUUCCUCUACAGAAAAGCAAGUUGCAGAUUCUCCGUCUUUCUUAUUCAACAAGAUUUGUCGUGGGUACAUGUAAUGAUUCAAGAAUUGAAGAGUUGGGUGAACUUCAAAAUCUCCAUGGGUCGUUAUCAAUUUCAGAAUUGCAAAAUGUUGUUAAUGGCAGGGAGGCUAUUAAGGGAAACAUGAAGGAUAAAAAGCACCUUGAAGAGUUAUUUUUGUCAUGGAGUGGCAUGAAUGCUGAUGAUUCACAAACUGAAAGAGAGAUUCUGGAUAAGUUGAAGCCAGAUAAAAACAUUAAGAAACUGGAGAUCAAUGGGUAUCGAGGGACAAAAUUCCCGGAUUGGUUUGGAGAUCAUUCCUUUAGUAAGCUGGUCUCAUUGCACCUCCGGAGAUGUAGGGAUUGCAAUUUCUUACCAGCACUUGGACAACUACCUGCUCUCAAACAUCUUUCAGUCAGUGGAAUGCAUCGGAUACAGCAAUUGAGUCGAGAAUUCUAUGGGAGUGUGUCUUCAGUUCCACCAUUUAGAUCCCUCACAAGCCUUGUGUUUAAGCAAAUGCCAGAAUUGACAGAAUGGCAUGGGUCAGAGAAUGGAAGCUUUCCUCGACUUAAGCAUCUUGAUAUAAUUAAUUGUCCUAAACUGAUAGGGGAGCUACCUAAAAGUCUUCCAUGUUUAGCUACAUUAAAGAUUUCUGGCUGCCCAAAGCUUGGGUUUCUUCCUGAUGGUCAAGUGGCUAUUUUUGGAAUCCAUUUGAGUUUGAUCCAUCAAAACUUCAUGUCUCUUCGUAUAUUGAGAAUUUCAGACCUGCCAAACUUGCUGGAGUUGCCAUCAGAACUAUGUGGACUAACAAAUCUUGGAGAGUUGAGGAUAUCUAAUUGCGCAAGCUUAGAAAUAAUCAGGAUUCAGGGUAUGCAGCAUCUUCUUGAAUUAGUUAUUCUACAUUGUCCAGCUCUUAUGUCCUUACCAAUUCUGAGUCUACCGAUAACUUUGGAAAAAAUGCAUAUUUCAAAAUGUGAAAAAUUGGAGUUGGAGUUUCCAGACAAUAGCAUGACUGGAAGCUGCUGUAACAUGUUCCUUGAAGAAUUAAGACUUGAAAAUUGUGACUCUCUACGUUAUCUCUACUUCUCUUUUUCUCCCAGAGUACAUACUCUCAUAGUCUUCAGUUGUAGGCAUCUUCAAACGCUUACAUUUCCAGAUGGAAUUGACACCCUUGAAGUAGAAAGAUGUAGGAAUCUUGAAGCACUUAUAGUAGCAAAGGGAAUUCAUCUGAAAUUUCUGCAGUCGAUGAAAAUCUCAGGCUGUGAUAAUUUGACAUCUUUUCCACAAAAACUAGCUGCUGCCAGCUUAAAGUAUCUUUGGGUCUAUGACUGCCAGAAACUCAAAGCACUGCCAGAUUUUAUGCAUGAACUCCUUCCAUCUCUUAGAAAUCUGUGGAUUUCCAACUGUCCCGAACUUGAGUCCUUCCCCGAUGGAGGAUUGCCCUUCAAUAUAGAAAUCCUCGACAUCUCGACUUGUGAAAAACUGAUAAAUGGUAGAGAAGAGUGGGGUCUACUGAGACUCCCUUAUCUUAGAUGUUUCAGAAUUUAUGGUUCCGGUGAAACUUCAAUUCUAGACGAAAGUUGGAAGCUGCCGAGUGCCAUCCAAACAAUUACUAUAGAGUGUCUUCCCCAACUGAAAACAGUAAGGGGGAUAGCUCUUGAAGGCUUGAAGUCUCUUGAAGUUUUGGAAAUUAAGCACUGCCCUCAGCUUCAAUCACUGCCUGCGGAAGGUCUUCAAGGCCUCACCUCUCUUGCAACUUUAGAGAUUGAGGACUGCGGUCAGCUGAAUUCACUUCCAGAAAUUGGCUUGCCUUCCUCACUGUCUGUACUAAAAAUCUCUUCCUGCCCACAGUUCCAAUCACUACCAGAAAAUGGUCUCCCCUCCUCUUUAUGUCGAGUAGAGAUUAAUGACUGUCCAUUGCUCACUUCUCGUUUACAAAACAAGAAAGAGGAGGACUGGCUAAAGAUUGCUGGAAUCCACACUGUACUUAUAGACAAUGAAUUGGUCUAGGGGCGAAGAAGAACCUGGUCCCUUAUCUGGUACAUUUGUUCAUAAAAUCAAAUGACUCAAUCUUCUAUUUGUUUCGUUCAGAUUUUCUUGUGAAUCUUUCUAAGUACUCUUUUAUUGUUUAAUUAUUAACUUUAUCUUCUGCAGUGUUCUUGCAUUGUACAGAUCAAAAUAGAUGUGUUGUUGCAUGAGGGAAAAGUAAUUCUUAUGUUAAUCCCUAUAUUCACUCUCUAGAGUGAUAGCUGCCAAAAUAGAUGGAUGGAGAGGUUUGUUGAAAACCCAACACUAAAAGAGUUAUUUGCCUACUUGUCAUUAUGUCGCUGCACAGAUUUUUGACAAAAGAAAGAAUGGAAAAAAACAGCCCCUAGUUCUUUGGUCAAAUGAUUUGACUGGUAUGACAUGCAUUUUAAAAGAAUGGAGGAAGUACAUUAUUCUCUUUUAGAUUUCAAUUUGACUGGUCACGGGUUCGAGCCGUGGAAGCAACCACUGAUACUUGCAUUAGGGUAGGUUUUCUACCUCACACCCCUUGGGGUGCGCAACCUUUUCCUGAACCCUGCUAAUGAGGGAUGCUUCGUGCACCGGACUGCCCUGCCCUUUUAUUGUCUCUGGGCUGUACUUUAUUUUGUUCUGUUCUUGUCGCUAUCCUUGUUUUUGAAAAAAAAAAAAAAAAUGCACCCUGUUAUUGCUAAUGGGAGUUUGGUAGUUAUCUGGCAGUUAUUUCUGUUCUUUUGGACAUUGUUUUGCUGGAUUUUCACAUGUAUGUUGGUAACUGUAUUAGUUUUGGCACUGUCUUUUGAUUA